GUAUUCACCUGGCAGGGCAGAUGCCAUGAUUACAAAAGUGGUUUUCCCAGGGUGAGGUUUAUCCACUGCAGUCUGGAUGUGCUGACCCUGGUAUUUCCCCACACGUAUGAAACUCAACUGCAUAAUUUGGGAUAGUGGAGGGCUGUGUUUGCACUCUCCCCUA